UUCUCUGAGUGCUGGGUUUAACCAUAGCCUAACAUAACAUAUACAUUUCUUAUACAUGUAAAGUAAACAAUACGUUCUAAUAUGAUGACAGGAAUAAGUAUAUUUCAAGCCAGAAUCCAACAGGUAGAAAAGUGAAUGUUUCUCUGUCUCUCAACUUCAUAAUUGCAUUGAGUCAUGUGUGUAACUUGCCCUCUGUUUGACAGCCAUAUUUCAGGAUAGUCAGACGGGGCAUCUCCAGAAGAAGACUGACGGGCUUCACCUGUGUGAAACAGAGGAAACACUACCUCUACCGUUUGACAGGGAAGGCCCACCAACAAUACGACCUCAAACACAUUAUUAAUCAAGCAGGAAAACUGAUUUGUGAAAGAAAAUGCAUUAGUCAUACACAUCAGACCAUGUGUAUGAUCAAAUGUAGGCAUGGCCUAUGUUAUUAAUUGAUCUAAUGCAAAACAUUUCAUUAAACUGAGAAAUUACGUGACCGUAAACAAGAGACUACCUUGUGAGCCACAACUCUGCAUGCCUUGUAUAAUGUUAUAACUGCUUGACAACAAAUGCUUUAGAAAUGAGUUGAUUGCGUUGUACUCUCUUUGUUUGUGCCUCUAUAGUAGCUCGGUAACUUAUGGUCAUGUAAUAUAUCUGAAUAUAUUCAAGAGGAGGCAUCAGAUUCUGAGAAAAAUAGUUGAGGACAAGGCAACCUUGACAGCCGCCAUUGUUGAACUUCAUGAGCAGCAGGCAGAGUUUAGGCGCCCCACAGUGGAUGAGCUGCUCAGUACUGACAACUGUGUGUGGCCUUGGGAGAGACUUGGCACCAGCAACGGCCAUUUUGCCAUCUUGGACAAACUGAUGUUGGUGAACAGACUGCAGGAGGAAGAGAGGAUACUGGGGCAGGAGAUGAAGAGGCACUGGGGCAGGAGAUGAAGAGGCACUGGGGGAGCCUACAAAGAGCAGCUGGAACUCUGGAGGAACUGUCCCGACAGCUGCAAGAUCAGAGCAAUGCAGUGGAGUUGUCAAAGGGAGGGAGGAUUGGCCUUAUCUGACUACUGAAGAGAAGAUUGAGUGUACCGACACAAGACCAAGACAACACCAGGAACGCCUACCACAAGCUGAUUCUGGGAGAAGGGGCUAUUUUUGAUGACUCUGAUGUAGACGAGAACUCAGAUGAAGAUAGAUGUCCUAUUGCUGAGAGCUCAGAUGACGAAUGCUAUUCAUUAUGAAAUCAUACACCACCCCUGCCUCUUUCUCUCGGUCUCGCUCUCUCCCGCAGAAGAGGGAGAAGGCCGCCACCACCUCCCUCGGGAGCAGCCUGGUCUCCCGACGUUGACCCCUGAUCCCACGCCUUCUGAACCCAUCCAGGGAAAUGUAAUUUGCCUGAUGACAUGCUAGUGGAGAAGGAAUGUCUAAUUUCAACGCAUUUGUUGCCAUGUUUCCUCUCCUCACCUCCGUUUCCUCCAGUCCUGGACUAUGGCGACGUCAUCACAGCUCAGACUGUUGGCUGAGGACCUCUUUACUGAGGACUGUGGCUGUUCUAAAUGUUAUUUUAUUAUUAUAUAUUUUGGGGUAUUUUCUAUGCUGCUGGGAUUGUGAUUUUUGUGUAAUUUGGAGUUGCAAAAGAGUCCUUGGUCUCAAUGGGACUGCUAAAAUAAAUAA